CCGAGCCAGAGUUUUCAAAAUCUAUAAUCCCUCCAGAACCUCCUUGCUUUCCUCAACAUAGAUUUUUGCCAAAGGAGAUCAGAUCCAAUUGGAAGAUCCCUCCCCCGCAGCAGAAUACUUUGUAAUUGGAUUAGUCUCAACAGCAACAGUAGUUCUGGCCUUGAAUAUGAGUUAAUCAGCCAAGUCACAACACAAGAAAGCUGACUGCACCAGAAAACCCUGUACAAUCCGUGAAUUUCUUCAUGGUUGAGACUCAGAUGAAUCAUCAUGUUGAUCUGACUCAUGCUUCUCCCUGCCUUAGGCCAAGAGACUGAGGCUUCACCUGGGAUCUGCCUCUUUCCCACUCAAGAGUCAAAUGAGCCCCCAAGGAGUAAGAAAAAAAUGUGAUUGAUUCUGAUUUGCACCCCAGUCUUUUUUUAAUUUAUCAUAAAGAAUCAAAUAUUUACAUUAGAAGAUAUCUUGUGCUGUGAAAAAAAAGGAAUAAAAGAAGGGAGGAAGAAAAGAAGUGGGAGGGUGGGAGAGAAAGGAAACAAUAGAAUAAGGCAGGCGCGGUGGCUUACGCCUGUAAUCCCAACACUUUGGGAGGCCAAGGCCAGAGGAUCGCUUGAGCUCAGGAGGUCAAGACCAGCCUGGGCAACGUGGAAAGACCCCAUCUCUCGAAAAAAAUAAAAAAUUAGCCAGGCACAGUAGCAUACACCUGUCGUCCCAGCUAUUCAGGAGGCUGACGUAGGAGAAUCGCUUGAACCUAGGAUGUGUGGCUGCAGUGAGCCAUGUUCUCACCACUGCACUCCAACCUGGGUGACAGAAUGUCACCUGUCUUAAAAAGAAAACAAUAGGCUAGAAAAAAAAGAAAAGAAAGCAGUAAGUGACAUAAGACCAAGAGGAAAAAGGGAAACUUGAGCAUCAUCUGUCCUCCCAGUGGCCUACGGAGGGAAAAGAGUAGACACUUAGCUUCACAGUCCACCGCAAAUCAGGCAGGGUCACUUCUGCAAACACUGGUAACCUACUAAAACCCAAGCACAGAAUAAGACAGACACUGAGAUUCAGAGAUAAAGUCAAGAUGGCUCCUACUGUUGCAGGGGAACUAGAAUGACUCAGAAUCCCAGACAGGUCAUGUUUGAAGAGGCCAUUCAUUCACUCCCAUUGAGGUGAAAGUUGCAUCCCUUUCUCCCUUCUCUCCUUCUCUUAUCCUGGAGCGCAAACAUUGUGUGGAGUGCAAACAUUGUGUGGAGCCCCUACAUAGGCGCGGUGGCUUAUGCGUUGGAGUUGAACUACUAUGAAGGUACUUGAGAUCUGGUGAUUCCCUUGGAUAAAUUUCCUACAAGGAAUCAUUUCACAAAGUUUUAUGGACAGAAAAUGCCCAUAAUUUGGAUGGUGGCUUUUGGAGCCGUG
rnacentral:lncRNA from 1 species